rnacentral:sRNA from 1 species
GGUGCCGGCCGCGCGCUAGUAGUCGCUGGUGUGGCUGGACCUUACCCAUCCCGUGCGCCGCGGCUGGGCGGUCGGAGAGUGCGUGUGCUUCUCUCCCGCACGCGGUGCUUGGGCUCGGCCAGGCGGGGUCCGCCGCCAGGGUUUGAGGAUGGGGGAGUAGCUACAGGAAGCGACCCCGCGAUGGCAAGGUAUAUUUUUGUGGAAUGAAAAGGAAGUAUUAGAAAUGAGCUGAAGACCAUUCACAGAUUAAUAUUUUUGGGGACAGAUUUGUGAUGCUUGAUUCACCCUUGAAGUAAUGUGGACAGAAGUUCUCAAAUUUGCAUAUUACAUCAACUGGAACCAACAGUGAAUCUUAAUGUUCACUUAAAUCAGAACUUGCAUAAGAAAGAGAAUGGGAGUCUGGUUAAGUAAAGAUGACUAUAUCAGAGACUUGAAAAGGAUCAUUCUCUGUUUUCUGAUAGUGUAUAUGGCCAUUUUAGUGGGCACAGAGCAGGAUUUUUACAGUUUACUUGGAGUAUCCAAAACUGCAAGCAGUAGAGAAAUAAGACAAGCUUUCAAGAAAUUGGCAUUGAAGUUACAUCCUGAUAAAAACCCGAAUAACCCAAAUGCACAUGGCGAUUUUUUAAAAAUAAAUAGAGCAUAUGAAGUACUCAAAGAUGAAGAUCUACGGAAAAAGUAUGACAAAUAUGGAGAAAAGGGACUUGAGGAUAAUCAAGGUGGCCAGUAUGAAAGCUGGAACUAUUAUCGUUAUGAUUUUGGUAUUUAUGAUGAUGAUCCUGAAAUCAUAACAUUGGAAAGAAGAGAAUUUGAUGCUGCUGUUAAUUCUGGAGAACUGUGGUUUGUAAAUUUUUACUCCCCAGGCUGUUCACACUGCCAUGAUUUAGCUCCCACAUGGAGAGACUUUGCUAAAGAAGUGGAUGGGUUACUUCGAAUUGGAGCUGUUAACUGUGGUGAUGAUAGAAUGCUUUGCCGAAUGAAAGGAGUCAACAGCUAUCCCAGUCUCUUCAUUUUUCGGUCUGGAAUGGCCCCAGUGAAAUAUCAUGGAGACAGAUCAAAGGAGAGUUUAGUGAGUUUUGCAAUGCAGCAUGUUAGAAGUACAGUGACAGAACUUUGGACAGGAAAUUUUGUUAACUCCAUACAAACUGCUUUUGCUGCUGGUAUUGGCUGGCUGAUCACUUUUUGUUCAAAAGGAGGAGAUUGUUUGACUUCACAGACACGACUCAGGCUUAGUGGCAUGUUGGAUGGUCUUGUUAAUGUAGGAUGGAUGGACUGUGCCACCCAGGAUAACCUUUGUAAAAGCUUAGAUAUUACAACAAGUACUACUGCUUAUUUUCCUCCUGGAGCCACUUUAAAUAACAAAGAGAAAAACAGUAUUUUG